rnacentral:lncRNA from 10 species
CAAACAGCACACAAAAAACUAUCAGUGAGAAUGCCUUCUAAGUUUGGAAAAUAUUUUGGAAUAUCACUGAAGAAACAGGCAUUUUGAGAGAAUAAUUCAUGGCCACCUUACUCAAGAGCAUGAAAAUCAGGAGGUGAGAAUCACUGGAGGACAUCUUGGAGAUUGGCUACCAUAGCCUGGAUUAAGAGAAGGAAAAAACCAGAAAGAUCAUAGGGACAAAUCUACACAAAAAUUAAUUGGUAUGGCUCAGGAUGGGUGGGGGUGAGUGGUUCAGGACCAAGGAUAUGAACAAUAUAAUGGAGACAGGUCAUACUCUGUGUGGCUAUGGUUGUGUGGUUAAAGGUAGGGAUAUAUGACAUGAGGUAUCUCUCUGUAUGGACAAAUUUUCUUUGGAAACUUGAAUUCUCAGUGUGAAAGACUAGACGAAUGUAGACAGCAUGGAUAGCAUUCAGCUUAAAUAUGCAGAUGGGGGAAAUGUAUAAAUGAAGCAAAUUCUUCAGAAUAAAGUUUAAAAGUUAACAAUUUGGUCAGCCAAAGAUACAAAAGACAAUGUAUUUCAGAUAAUGCCAACAACUAGACGAAGAGAUGAUGUCACAAAAUGGAAUCUGCAAUUCAAGUAGAAAUAAAAGAUGUUGUGGUAAUGAGAAAGUAAUAAAGACCUGGUUUGAUCUUCAAGGAGAACUACAAACCACUGCUCAAGGAAAUAAAAGAGGAUACAAACAAAUGGAAGAACAUUCCAUGCUCAUGGGUAGGAAGAAUCAAUAUCAUGAAAAUGGCCAUACUGCCCAAGGUAAUUUACAGAUUCAAUGCCAUCCCCAUUAAGCUACCAAUGCCUUUCUUCACAGAAUUGGAAAAAACUACCUUAAAGUUCAUAUGGCCCCAAAAAAGAGC